CUUGCUGUGUAGGAGGGGGUUCCACCCGUGGGGGUCAUUGGCCUCUGCUCAGGCCGUCCCAGCUGCAAGCAGGCCCUGAUGGUCCAUUUCAACUGGUAAAGAGGCGUUCGGAUGUGAAUCUCUUUGCUUUUGGGGAACAGCUUCCUAUGACAUGGAAUUUCUGUAUUUAUAAGAAAAGCACGGCGUAUUAAUGGGGAAAACAGCCAAAGAUUUUAAAAAUCAUAGUGGUGUGGGUCCUUAGUAGGUGUUUAUAAUAAGGUUCCACAUCUGCCUUUUUCAGCUGUUGUUUUUUUUAAAUGAAGGUGUGAGG